UGUUGGUGGGUAAAGAUCAUUAAUGAAACAACUUCCAAACAGAUAACUGUGCUAGAGUAGUAGUGGAGAGAAGUUGCAUGCAAUGAAGACACAAGGUGUUCAGUUUCUGCUGCUUUUGCUGUGUGUUGUGUCCACCUGCUGGGGACAGCAAGUCUACCUGACUCUGGGAUCUGGUCCUAGCAUCACCACUAACAAUACUGAGAUCUUCAUCACUACCAUUGGAGAGGGGGCCCAGGGUGGUCUUCCAUCUCUCACUUGUCACAGUGACCUCACUACCUGCUGUAGAAGUGGUGCCGACAACUUUGGUAAUGGAAUACUGGGACAGUGGACGCAUCCUGAUGGGAGUGAGGUAGUGGGAAAUGUUGCAGCAUUGAAUACUGGACAGCAGUUCUACAUUGUGAGGGAUGCCAGGCAGGUCAUCGUGCUAAACCGUAGAGUAUCUCCCAACAACCCCCUCACUCCAACCGGGUCCUACUGUUGUACUGUACCAACUACUGGAGGAGACAUGACCCUCUGUGCUAACCUGGUGGUGUCACUGACGUGUAUGUCCCUCCCUCCCCCCACCAAUGGAGGGAUCUCCUACUCUAACAUGACGCUGGGUGAGAACACUGUGGCCACCUACACCUGUGACACUGGCUACACUCUGAAUGGAGGCAGCACCAGGACUUGUGAGAGUGAUGGAAUGUGGAGUGGGUUAGCUCCAGUGUGUCAAGGAACUUGUUCUGAUUUACCACCGAUAUUUAAUGGAGGCAUUACCUACACUGAUGGACCUGCUGGCAGCAGACCUGUUGAUAGCGUUUCUACCUACACUUGUGAUAAUGGAUACACUGUCACUGGAGGGAGUUUCAGAGUUUGUCAGAAUGAUGGGACCUGGAGUGGAACAGCUCCAAUCUGUCAAUCCACCUGUCCUGACCUCACUGUACCAACCAAUGGAGUGAUCAUCUACAGCUCUAGUACCGCACCACACCGCCCUCGAGGAACUGUGGUUACACAGAGCUGCUUGAAUGGAUACGUACCCUCCACUACCAGCACUGCUACCAGAGUGUGUAGAGCUGAAAGAUUGUGGAGUGGAUCAGCUCUCACUUGUCAAUUACCUCCUGUCUACGUCUCCGUGGGAACCACCAACUAUGCUGUUAUGAACUCACAGGUUGCCAUAGACACCAUCGGAGAUACCACUGAGACAGCAUUGACUUGCAGAACUGACUCAACUAUUUGCUGUACAGGACAAGAUAAUCCCAAUAGUGCCAAUGGAUUAGGAUAUUGGCUACUACCGAAUGGAACAGUUGUCACAAGGAAACUGGACAUUACUGAUUCAGACACUGAUCUACUGUACAGUGUUGGAGAUACAGAUGCACUCAGACUCCAUCGUCGAGGGUCUGUGUCAGGCCCCACUGGCUCCUACUGCUGUGUGAUUCCUGACAGUACUGGGGUCAUCCAAGCCUUCUGUGUGCAGUUAGCCUCUAUUGAUGAGAGCUCUCUCUGUCAGUUGUGAUAACACUGGUGCUGUGGUGGGAGGAGUGGUAGUAACGUUGGUAGUGGUAGCAGUGAUUGCAGUGACUGUAGUGAUGGUGACCUACCUAGUGCUCCGGUACAAGAGAGGAGGGAAAAUGACCGCUCCUCAAGAUAUUCCCCUUACUGACCAGGGUCAGAGUGCAGCUAUUAUCUACGAGACCGUCCCUGUCACUUAUGAGGAGAUCUCAGCCUCUGGAGAGGUCAGAGGUGACUACAGCUAUACACAAAACGAUGCCUACUCGACUAUGAGUGGGCGGGAGGCUCCAGCUGCUGUAUAGGAUAACUAAACUGUAUUUCAGAUUGAUAGAGCAUGCAGUUAUACAUACUUCAUCAGUCCCUCCCCUCUCACAAUGUUUUUCAUUUCAAAAACGCUGUUAAGUUGAACAUGAGAAAAAAUCCCACAAAUAAGCACAACCACUAAUAUUA